CCUUCCUCUCCCUGCUGGAAGAAAAGUUUAGAACUUCAGCCGCGGGACCGGCGGAGGAAGAACACACAGCUUUCAACUUCCCUGCCGUCGGCCGGUGUUUUACUACACAAAUCCCAGUGCCUGGAAACAACCACACGCAUCUAAACUCCGGAAACAUACCACAGCCUCUAAGGAAUAAGGCUGGGAGAAUGAACCAGUCAAGGAGAAAGACUGAAGAAGGACUGAAGAAGGGGAACACAGAUGGGAGUUAAGCUCUUGAGAAGGUCUUCUGUGGAAGCAUGCACUGGAAAAUCUCCACCCGCUGGCAAAGAGAUGCAUGGGGAAAGGCGUCAAGUGGGAAACAGGUAGUCUCCAAAAAGGAUCUUUAACUUCGUGCUUGGCCCCACACCAUCUGGGGUUUUGAAACUAUAUUAAUUGCAUGACCAGGCACCUUGAAGCCAAGAAACUGGCAUUAAAAUUGUUUUUAAGGGUG